GUGGACAGUGGGUAGAAAGAAGGAGAGAGAAAGGAAUCUGCUUCCACGCUUCCAAUGGAGAGGUUCCACUAACUUCGGAUUCCCAGUGUAUAGACAUUCUCUUCUUGGGAGAAAAGACUCCUAGAGGCUAUGUAGGCCAAGCCGACUCCCUGUUCCACCUAAGAACUUACUGGAGACAGUCAUCGAGCCUUCUGAGUCCUCCUUUCUCCAAGUCCUUCAGCGGAACCUCAAUGGAUACCACAUGGUUUCUACAUUUGCAGCCACCCUCCUCAGAGCACUUUGUCAAUAUCCUUCCUGAACUGUGACUCCUGCUUUGACACAUUAUUCUAACUCUUUUCUUCUCUUGUUAUGCUAACUUCGUCUUAUAUUGAUAUCUAACUUUUCGUGGUUCUAUGCCUUGUCUGCCUUACUAAGUUCUGUCCUUUAUUUAUGGUGACGGCAUUUUGUACAGUGUAACUCCAAAGUAAGAAAGUCUUUAUUCCCCGGUCAAAUAAAGGUAUAUCCAAAUGAA